rnacentral:rRNA from 1 species
GUUCGACUAAGCCAUGCGAGUCGAAUGUAGCAAUACAUGGCGAACUGCUCAGUAACACGUGGACAACCUGCCCUUAGGUUGGGUAUAAACCCGGGAAACUGGGUAUAAUACCCGAUAGGUCUCGAUUGCUGGAAUGCAUCGAGAUUUAAAGCUCCGGCGCCUAAGGAUGGGUCUGCGGCCUAUCAGGUAGUAGUGGGUGUAGCGUACCUACUAGCCUACGACGGGUACGGGUUGUGAGAGCAAGAGCCCGGAGAUGGAUUCUGAGACACGAAUCCAGGCCCUACGGGGUGCAGCAGGCGCGAAAACUUUACAAUGCUGGCAACAGCGAUAAGGGAACCUCGAGUGCCAGGUUACAAAUCUGGCUGUCGAGAUGCCUAAAAAGCAUUUCAUAGCAAGGGCCGGGCAAGACCGGUGCCAGCCGCCGCGGUAACACCGGCGGCUCGAGUGGUAACCGUUAUUAUUGGGUCUAAAGGGUCUGUAGCCGGCCGGAUAAGUCUCUUGAGAAAUCUGGCAGCUUAACUGUCAGGCUUUCAGGAGAUACUGUCUGGCUCGAGGCCGGGAGAGGUGAGAGGUACUUCAGGGGUAGGGGUGAAAUCUUGUAAUCCUUGAAGGACCACCAGUGGCGAAGGCGUCUCACCAGAACGGACCUGACGGCAAGGGACGAAAGCUAGGGGCACGAACCGGAUUAGAUACCCGGGUAGUCCUAGCCGUAAACGAUACUCGCUAGGUGUCGGGCCACGG